CGGACCAGGCUUCAUUCC
rnacentral:ncRNA from 3 species